AAGGAAUACUAGUGCCAGCCACACUGGAGGAAAUGAGCCCAUGUUGUCCCUCUCACUUGCCUCUUGGUGUGCCAUGUAGAAAGACACAGAGCUACCCUUGGUGGGAGAGGGUCCACUCCAUACAUCAGGGUGACAGGAAAGACACACUUCUGAGACAAAGGGGGAUGGACAUUCAUAGCAGUCUUGUGAGCCUUCCCUAGAAGGCCCCAUUGUCCUCCAGUAAUCUCCUUUGUACCUGGCCUCUCUCUACCAUUUCCAUACACCAAUCUAGCAGUAUCUAAGGAUAACUCUUGUCAACAAUAGACUACAAAGAAAUGGGGAUUCCCUCAAGAAUCUCAUGCCGAGAGAAGGAAAAAGUGUCCAUCAAAAGAACGUGUCUCCUGGAAAGAGUCUUGCACACAGUUGUGACAACUUAUCAGCCCACAUCACAGGGCUGCGUGAAAUCUCAAGGACAGCACAGUGGUAAGCAGGGUCCCACCUGGACUGGGACUGCAGAUGCCCGGGCCUCCUAUGUCUCAGUUUCCCACCUGGACACCAGCAUGACUUUCAGACAGCAGUCACUCUGACUCUGGAGCCCAACUGAGACUGAUCAGAUCAAUCGGCUUUCAGAAAUGGGGAUGUGACAAGUGACGCCAGCUAAACCUCCUCUAGCGACUGCGCCACGCGCAUGGAAAGAUACACUGUAGAGCGAGGGGGACAGAGUUACGCCCGGGCUCUCUGGAUGGCAGCUUUGGAAAGUUGACGAUUUAUCACCUACCCCAACUCCUUCUCAAGUGUGGUCUGGGACUCGUUGCUCAUCCGUGUGAUUUUGCCAAGUGGUGUUUGGACUUGGCGUUGGGAGUUCACACUGUAGGCGGUGAUGGCAGUGAUCUGAAGCCUGAAUACCUUAAUAAAUAAUUACGGUGAUUCUGUGAUCACCAGACAUG
ensembl:antisense 1700034H15Rik RIKEN cDNA 1700034H15 gene